GAGGUGUAUGAAAAGAGAGAAUCUUAGUACUCCCCUUGACAAGGAUGGAAAAGGUCCUAGUGGCCUUUACAGCACACAUACCAUUGAGGCAUUGCCACCUACUCUGUGGCACCUAAUCAUAUUUA